AUUGAACGCUGGCGGCAUGCCUUACACAUGCAAGUCGAACGGCAGCACGGACUUCGGUCUGGUGGCGAGUGGCGAACGGGUGAGUAAUACAUCGGAACGUGCCCAGUAAUGGGGGAUAACGCAGCGAAAGUUGUGCUAAUACCGCAUACGCCCUGAGGGGGAAAGUGGGGGAUCGAAAGACCUCAUGUUAUUGGAGCGGCCGAUGGCUGAUUAGCUAGUUGGUGAGGUAAAGGCUCACCAAGGCGACGAU
rnacentral:rRNA from 1 species